AAAAAACACUGUAAACCACUAAUAAAUACACUGUAAUUUCAACAGUUUUACAGUGUAAAAUCAACUCAAAAAAGUUAACUGCAUUGACAAAAUGCACUGGAACAACCACAUAUACAUGGACGAACAUGGAGAAGCACCACCAGAGAGGGUGAUUCCUCCAAGAUCUGCUACACAAACUUCAACAACAUGGCUAGAGAAGCAGGAAAAACAUAGGUAAACACCCCUUCUCGCCCCCUCCUAUGCGUUCAUCACCUCCUAUCGUCUCCCUCCUGCCUGAAGAAAUCUGGAAGAAAGAACAGAUGAAAAAAGAACAUAAGCACACUAAGAAAGAACCAGCACAGAUCCUAGGAACAACCAGAACAUGGUCGCAUGUACUACUAGUCUAUGAUCACAAGAACACUAUAUACUGAAAACUAGAUGCCCAGAUCAUUGGUUUCUAGAUUUGCAGAAUAGGAACACACUACAGGGGACAAAAACACACUCAAAGAUCACUAGGCUAGCAAUUCCAUUUAGGGGACAAAUACAAGGGACAAAAACACACUACUAGGCUAGCAAUUCCAUUUAGGUAAAACUAGUUGAAAAUAUACAAGGUUGAGGAUUACUGCAGUUGAGAGAAUAUGUGACUAUUUCCACAAACUUUGGAAACUAAAAAACUAAAACACUAUUAAGAAACUUUGAUCUACUAGUUUAGACACUUCCUGUUGAAUGACCGAAUACAAGUAACUUUGGAAGUGUAAACUGCUAUGAACUGAUACUUGUUUACACUGAAUAUUGAUUAGCAUUAACAUAAACACUGAAAAUAGAAGUUAUCAGAAAAAAUGAGUAACACAAUCAGGCUAAAAACACUAAAGAUUACAGUGUAAAACCCACAAAGAAUUAUAGUGUAACUCUACUAAGAAUAACACUGUAAUCCAAUAAAGAUUACAGUGUAAAUACACCAAAAUUGUCAAUCUCUUUGCUACAAGAAUAGCUUAACCAAAAGGAAGACAAAGUACAAACCAUGUUACAGCAGUACGGAUUGAACCAAGUUCACCUAAAAAAGGGUCCGUGAAAAUUACAUCAAAGCCAAACUCCCCUAGCCUCCUUUACAACCCACACAGGCAAAGCAGCGAGAAAGGAGAAAAAGAACCCAACAUUACAAGGCAAGAAUUUCCCAUCUCUAAUCUAAAACUAACCAC
rnacentral:lncRNA from 1 species